GGAUUCCCCUAGUAACUGCGAGUGAAGCGGGAAAAGCUCAAAUUUAAAAUCUGGCAGUCUUGCUACUGUCCGAGUUGUAAUUUAGAGAAGCGUCAUCCGUGCUGGACCGUGUACAAGUCUCCUGGAACGGAGCGUCAUAGAGGGUGAGAAUCCCGUCCAUGACACGGACUACCAGUGCAUUGUGAUGCGCUCUCGAAGAGUCGAGUUGUUUGGGAAUGCAGCUCUAAAUGGGUGGUAAAUUCCAUCUAAAGCUAAAUAUAGGCGAGAGACCGAUAGCGAACAAGUACCGUGAGGGAAAGAUGAAAAGAACUUUGGAAAGAGAGUUAAACAGUACGUGAAAUUGUUGAAAGGGAAACGCUUGAAGUCAGUCGCGUUGUUCAGGGAUCAGCCUUGCUCUGCUUGGUGUACUUCCUGUUCGACGGGUCAGCAUCAGUUUCGACCGCUGGAAAAAGUGCGCAGGAAUGUGGCAUCCUCGGAUGUGUUAUAGCCUGUGUUCGUAUACGGCGGUUGGGACUGAGGAAUCCGCACUAGAUGCGUGGGAUGCUGGCAUAAUGGCUUUAAGCGACCCGUCUUGAAACACGGACCAAGGAGUCUAACAUGCCCGCGAGUGUUUGGGUGGAAAACCCGAGCGCGUAAUGAAAGUGAAAAGUUGGGAUCUCUGUCGUGGAGAGCACCGACGCCCGGACCAGAUGUUUUCGGACGGUUCUGCGGUAGAGCG
rnacentral:rRNA from 1 species